rnacentral:rRNA from 1 species
GAUGAACGCUGGCGGCGUGCCUAACACAUGCAAGUCGAGCGAUUUACUUCGGUAAAGAGCGGCGGACGGGUGAGUAACGCGUGGGUAACCUGCCCUGUACACACGGAUAACAUACCGAAAGGUAUGCUAAUACGGGAUAAUAUGCUUUAGUCGCAUGGCUGAAGUAUCAAAGCUCCGGCGGUACAGGAUGGACCCGCGUCUGAUUAGCUAGUUGGUAAGGUAACGGCUUACCAAGGCGACGAUCAGUAGCCGACCUGAGAGGGUGAUCGGCCACAUUGGAACUGAGACACGGUCCAAACUCCUACGGGAGGCAGCAGUGGGGAAUAUUGCACAAUGGGCGAAAGCCUGAUGCAGCAACGCCGCGUGAGCGAUGAAGGCCUUCGGGUCGUAAAGCUCUGUCCUCAAGGAAGAUAAUGACGGUACUUGAGGAGGAAGCCCCGGCUAACUACGUGCCAGCAGCCGCCGUAA